rnacentral:lncRNA from 1 species
GAAAUACAAAUUUACUACCAAAUUAAAUGAAAUUAUCAAGAAGACUUUGAAAUUUCUAUUUUUACAACCGGACGUUCGAAUCAAGUCCAACCAACUCCGUUUCUCACCAAAUAUUACAGACAAGUCAUAAAUAUUAUAUUGAAACGGGUGGAUAGCUAUGGAGUUUUAUGAUAGAAACGGUUGGUUUAAGGGUGGCGUUUCCAUGACGGUUUUGAAGCAUUUUAAUGGAGGUUUCUCACUGAUUUAUUUGGAGGAGAAAAUCUAGCUUUUGGGAUAUUAUGGCUAUGCUUUUUCAGAUCUGUUCUCUCCUUUCUUUUGGUGUGUGGUGAAUGUUUUCUAUCAGUAAGAGAGAAUGAGGAAGAGGAUCCCAUGAGAGUUGCCAAAAAUAAGCGAAUUGUGAGGCCAUCCAAAGUGUGCGCAAGUGAGAAGGUACC